CUCCCUUUGUUGGUCCUAAGCCCUACCACUACCAACUGGAUUGAAAUGAUUCAUCACCGAAUUUCGUUAAAGAAUCGGCUGCUCUGUUCCAUGUUCCUCUUUCUUGCUUUUUUGUUUGAUUUUUCUUCCACACGAUCUACUAUGAUUUGGGGCCAAGGCUCCUACCGGAGCUCUAAUCGAGCUCUCAGCCACUCCCAUAACCAAAGUUAGAGUCUUCGUCGGUUGAUAAGC
rnacentral:lncRNA from 1 species